GAGUAAUGUCUGGGAAACUGCCUGAUGGAGGGGGAUAACUACUGGAAACGGUAGCUAAUACCGCAUAACGUCGCAAGACCAAAGAGGGGGACCUUCGGGCCUCUUGCCAUCGGAUGUGCCCAGAUGGGAUUAGCUAGUAGGUGGGGUAACGGCUCACCUAGGCGACGAUCCCUAGCUGGUCUGAGAGGAUGACCAGCCACACUGGAACUGAGACACGGUCCAGACUCCUACGGGAGGCAGCAGUGGGGAAUAUUGCACAAUGGGCGCAAGCCUGAUGCAGCCAUGCCGCGUGUAUGAAGAAGGCCUUCGG
rnacentral:rRNA from 1 species